rnacentral:rRNA from 1 species
GCCAGCGGUGAUAGCACGUUGAUUGCACUGGGUUAAGCAACGUUGGACGUUGUUGAUAUCUGGAUGAGUGACUAUUUGGGAAAUCGCGUGCUGCUUUCU